rnacentral:lncRNA from 1 species
CGGCCCUUAAUUGGCCCAUUAGUAAAGCUGCCCAAUUUUGGGCUUUGAAUUAUGGACUUUGGUCCAUUUUUCUGAAGUGUAUAUUAACUGUAUAUCUGAGUUAUUUCCCCUGUAUUUUUUGUAUAUACGUUGUAUAUCUGCGUAAAAAACCCUGUAUACUUGCUCCCAGCUUUACCAUACGCCAUCUCUUGACUUAAACCAACCACCUUUAACCAGUAAACCACAUAUAUCAGGUGUAUACUAGUGUUAUACCAGCCUCGUUCAUGAUAUGUUAAUCAAUUUGCGGAUUUGAAUGGGGCUCGACUCGAUAUUAGUCCUCCUUGGCCUGUUGGAGUAUGGAAGAGAAAAGUCCGUUUGGACUCCAAAUUAGGGAAAUCAUCCAAAGGAAGAAAAUAACAAUUAGCAGAUGCUCUUACAAACAAUUGUUUCUAAAGAAAAAUAUACUAAUCCCGAAAAAUAAAACACGAGCAAAGGUGAUCAAAUUUAAUUAUUUGUUUACAUGAGAAUGAUAAUCAUUCCUAAUCAUAUCAACAACAAUUAUGUUAUUCGUUCACAUAAGUUAAUCCAUAGAAUAUAACUAAAGAUUGUUCAAAAGGUGUUUAAAUUUUCUCAUGCUCUUUUUCACCAUCAGAUCCACCACAGAUACCAGUUUAACGAUUUUCGCAACCUGACUAAUGCUUAAACAGUCCAAAUUUGCAAUUUUCAACAAUCAGAUCCACCAAAACAGAAUUUUUUUUUUUUUGUUGAUGGUCUUUUUAAGACCAAUGCAAAUGGGUUUUCUUUCUCAACACCACCCAAACCCCCCAAAACUGAGUUAUAAAUUGAAACAUCUACAACUUUCUAUAUCAGAUUUUCUCCUACAUAAAUACACACAUCUCUAUGUGUGUGAAAAUUAUAUAAAAAUAUCUAUUUCAUAAUGAAUAAUGAAUAAAUCAAAGCAAAUAGGAAAUAUUUGAAUAAAAUUGGGAAUGGGGAUUUUAUUAUAAGCAAAAGAAUAAUGAAUCCCCCAUUCUCUCCAUUUCAUCUUCUUCUAAAACAACGAAUGAGAAAUUUCUUUAAGAACAUAUAUACACGUACGUUAAUCAGUUUUUAUUCCAAUUUGGCUGCAAUCAAAAGUCAAAACUAGGAGUCCAAAGAUACACAGACAUCGAGAAUAACAUUCUAUGUUAAUUUCCUCAUUUUACUGCAUUGGAUAGUUAACCAAUACACAACAAUAUCAAUAAUAAAAGGUGCAGCCGAAAAAAAUCACAUCAAAGAGAGAGUACAAAAGUAAUUCACCUUUUUGGGGGUAAGAACCGGAACAGAGAGCUUUUCGAUUGAACGGACUUCACCACUGUCAAAAUUCGAUUCCAAUUUAUCGAGAUUACCAUAAAAUUUCCAGAAUUUAAUCUUCCGUUGGAAUUUGGUUACGUGAGGUUAGAAGCAUAUGUCUCGAGAACCUCCAAUUUUUCCCAAAAAUUCCUCUCACUAUCUAUUUAUAGAGAAAAAUAGGGGCGGAGAGGGGGAGAAUCUAGAGUUUUGGAUUGAAAAUGGGAUUUUGAAUUGAUUUUCUUAGGAAAUUUGAUGUCCAUAGGUAGAGAAACGGGUAACCGUUGGCUUCUUACCAAAAAUGGGCGAGCAUGGUCUGAGAAGGGGAAAAGGCCAAUAAACUUUUUUCCCUUCUUGGCUGUUUGGAGGGGUAAAAGGUUCAAA